rnacentral:rRNA from 1 species
AACGAACGCUGGCGGCAUGGAUUAGGCAUGCAAGUCGAGGGGCAGCAUGAUUGUAGCAAUACAAUUGAUGGCGACCGGCAAACGGGUGCGGAACACGUACACAACCUUCCAACAAGUGGGGGAUAGCCCAGAGAAAUUUGGAUUAAUACCCCGUAACAUAGCGAUGUGGCAUCACAUUGCUAUUAUAGAUUUUUCGCUUGUUGAUGGGUGUGCGGCUGAUUAGAUAGUUGGCGGGGUAACGGCCCACCAAGUCUACGAUCAGUAGCUGAUGUGAGAGCAUGAUCAGCCACACGGGCACUGAGACACGGGCCCGACUCCUACGGGAGGCAGCAGUAAGGAAUAUUGGACAAUGGACGCAAGUCUGAUCCAGCCAUGCCGCGUGAAGGAUUAAGGUCCUCUGGAUUGUAAACUUCUUUUAUAAGGGACGAAAAAAGGCUUUUCUAAGUCGUCUGACGGUACCUUAUGAAUAAGCACCGGCUAACUCCGUGCCAGCCGCCGCCGUAACAC